rnacentral:rRNA from 1 species
GACGAACGCUGGCGGCGUGCUUAACACAUGCAAGUCGAACGGACAGACAGAGAGCUUGCUCUCUUGAAGUUAGUGGCGAACGGGUGAGUAACGCGUAAUCACCCUGCCCUUCAGAGGGGGAUAACAACGGGAAACCGUUGCUAAUACCGCGUACGAUUCAUGAACGGCAUCGUUUAUGAAUGAAAGGUGGCCUCUAUGUAUAAGCUAUCGCUGAAGGAGGGGAUUGCGUCUGAUUAGCUAGUUGGAGGGGUAACGGCCCACCAAGGCAAUGAUCAGUAGCCGGUCUGAGAGGAUGAACGGCCACAUUGGGACUGAGACACGGCCCAAACUCCUACGGGAGGCAGCAGUGGGGAAUCUUCCGCAAUGGACGAAAGUCUGACGGAGCAACGCCACGUGAGUGAUGAAGGUCUUCGGAUUGUAAAGCUCUGUUAAUCGGGACGAAAGAGUUCUGCGUGAAUAAUGCAGAAAAGUGACGGUACCGGAAUAGAAAGCCACGGCUAACUACGUGCCAGCCGCCGCAGUAA